rnacentral:rRNA from 1 species
AGAACGCUGGCGGCGUGCUUAACACAUGCAAGUCGAACGGAGAUUAUUUUAAGCUUGCUUUUGAUGAUCUUAGUGGCAAACGGGUGAGUAACGCGUAGACAACCUGCCUUUCCGAUGGGGACAACAGUUCGAAAGGACUGCUAAUACCGAAUGACGUGUCUCCUCCGCAUGGAAGAGAUACCAAAGACGGCCUCUAUUUAUAAGCUGUCGCGGAAAGAUGGGUCUGCGUCUGAUUAGCUGGUUGGAGGGGUAACGGCCCACCAAGGCGACGAUCAGUAGCCGGUCUGAGAGGAUGAACGGCCACAUUGGGACUGAGAAACGGCCCAAACUCCUACGGGAGGCAGCAGUGGGGAAUCUUCCGCAAUGGACGAAAGUCUGACGGAGCAAUGCCGCGUGAGUGAAGAAGGUCUUCGGAUCGUAAAGCUCUGUUGUACGGGACGAAUGUUGAAGGCGUGAAUAAUGCCAUUAAAUGACGGUACUGUACGAGGAAGCCACGGCUAACUACGUGCCAGCAGCCGCGGUAAUACGUAGGUGGCGAGCGUUGUCCGGAAUUAUUGGGCGUAAAGGGAGCGCAGGUGGGAAGGUAAGUCUGUUUUAAAAGCGUCGGGCUCAACCCGAUGAGGGAACAGAAACUAUUUUUCUUGAGUGCAGGAGAGGAAAGCGGAAUUCCUAGUGUAGCGGUGAAAUGCGUAGAUAUUAGGAGGAACACCAGUGGCGAAGGCGGCUUUCUGGACUGUAACUGACACUGAGGCUCGAAAGCCAGGGGAGCGAACGGGAUUAGAUACCCCGGUAGUCCUGGCCGUAAACGAUGGAUACUAGGUGUAGGGGGUAUCGACCCCUUCUGUGCCGGAGUUAACGCAAUAAGUAUCCCGCCUGGGGAGUACGAUCGCAAGAC